AACACGAUAUUAAAAUGCUAGAGUAAAAGAAAGAGCAAACCAUAAAGACCAAUUCAGUGAGAAGUCCCCUCCAUUUAGCAGCAGAACUCCUCUCUAACUCCUCCAUCACUGCUAAAACCCACCAAGUUUAAUUUUCUCACGUAAAAAAGCUGUCUGAGUGGAUUAGUUAUAUAUAUGUUUUGAUGGCAAAUAAUCGGCUUGAUGCUCAGUCAGCAGCGGAGAAGGCGGUGUCUGUGAUUGGAUUUGGUUAUGAUUUGACCAAAGAUAUUCGAUUGUCAUACUGCAAGCCAGGUCUUUUUGGGUCUAGAUUGAUCAAGCUGGACCUCACUCGGAAUCAAGAGCUUGUGGUUCCUGGUGGGGUUGUUGUUCAAAACGUGCCUAAUGGUAUUAAGUGUGAUAAAGGAGAGAGGACUAGGUUUCUCUCUGAUGUUCUCUCUUUCAAUCAGAUGUCGGAGAAAUUCAAUCAAGAACUGUGUUUAUCAGGUAAAAUCCCCUCGGGACUGUUCAAUACCAUGUUUAACUUCAGGGGUAGUUGGCAGAAGGAUGCGGCUUCUGCAAAAAGUCUUGCUUUUGAUGGUUGGUUCAUAACACUAUAUAACAUUGAGUUGGAAAGAUCCCAUAUAACGUUGUCUGAAAAGGUGAAGCAAGAAGUGCCUACUACAUGGGAUCCUGUUGCCCUUGCUGAGUUUAUUGAGAAAUAUGGCACUCAUAUUGUUGUCGGGGUAAAGAUGGGAGGUAAAGAUGUGAUACACAUGAAGCAGCAACAAAAAUCAAAUCUUGAGCCCCCUGAAGUGCUGAAAUUGUUAAAGGAAUAUGCUGAUAAGCUGUUCUUCGGAGAUGUUGACCCUGCUGAAUUAUCAGGAAAACCAAAGGAUGAACACGUUAUGCCUUGGGAUUUCAAUGGAGUAUUUGCCCAUUCGAUGAGGCUGCCUGUCAUUACUUCCAUAAAGAAUGAGGAUAUAACGAGCAUUUGUAUCCGAAGGGGAGGUGUGGAUGUUGGCCAAAGCCAUAACCAGUGGCUCUCAACUAUAUCACAGUCGCCAAAUGUUAUUUCAAUGUCCCUUGUGCCUAUAACUUCUCUUUUGAAUGGUAUUCGAGGCAACGGAUUCGUAAGCCAUGCGGUGAAUCUCUACCUUCGAUACAAACCUCCAAUAGAGGAACUUCACCAGUUUUUAGAGUUUCAGUUGCCUCGGCAAUGGGCUCCAGUAUAUGGUGAUCUGCCUCUUACUCUUAAGCGCAGAAAACAAGCAACCCCAUCUCUUAGGUUCACCUUCAUGGGCCCUAAGCUUUAUGUCAACACCACAAAGGUUGAUUCUGGAAAUCGGCCAGUGACAGGAAUCCGCUUACAUUUGGAGGGUAAGAGAAGUGACCAUUUGGCUAUCCAUCUCCAGCAUCUUUCCUCUCUUCCCAAUAUGCUCCAACUCUCAGAUGAUCGGCUCGAAUCAACUCAUGAACCUGAAGACCGAGACUAUUUUGAACCAGUUCUAUGGAGCAUAUUCUCACAUGUCUGCACUGCCCCAGUGGAGUACAAUGGUGCCCGCAUUGAUGACACCGCUUCCAUUGUAACAAUGGCCUGGUUCGAGGUAAAGGUUGUUGGGAUGAAGAAAGUUCUGUUCUUGAGGCUUGGUUUCUCAAUGGUGGCAUCUGCAAGACUCCGCAGUUCAGAAUGGGAUGGACCUUCAGCCUUGUCAAGAAGAUCGGGGGUCUUCUCGAUGUUGAUUAGCACUAGGUUCAGUGCAGGGUUAAAUCCACCCGAGAAGCCAGUGAAAGUAAACCUGAAUUCUGCGGUUUUUCCUGGAGGCCCCCCUUUACCAUCAAGAGCACCGAAAAUGUCAAACUUUGUUGACACAAAGGAAAUGGUGAGAGGUCCAGAGGACCUGCCUGGAUCUUGGGUGGUCACUGGAGCUAAGCUCUGUGUGGACGGUGGUAGAAUCUCAAUCAAAGUCAAGUAUUCACUGUUAGCCACAAUAUCAGAGGAGGCAAUGAUGUUGUUGUAAGAACUUGCAAAGAAUGCAUUCGUUCCUACUGUUGUAACUUGCAAAUGAUAACCAUUUGUGUCUGAGUACGGGGACUUUUGCUUUGUGUGUUAGUUUUCAACAAGUAGUAUCAGAGAGCUUGGAAGAAAAAAGAAUGCACAAGUACUGCAGCAAAACAUGUCUUCCUUGAUGAAGACGCAACAGGUAGUCCUUCGAGCAAAACACACACGCAACAACAACAAGACUUUCAACGCAUAUGCAAUAGCAACCUCCAUUGACGAGUGAGACUUCUUCCAACAUAACACAACGAAAAAACAUUGCAACCACAGUUCAAAACACAGCGGAAAUUCUAGUAGUAGCAGUCACAGUAACAAUAGAGCACCUUCUACGCAAAAGAAGAAGCACAUCAAAAUCUCCUUUCAACGCAACAAAUCAUCAACCAAAACGCAACAAUAAGAGCAAUCGAAACACACAAAUUAUCUCUUCACAGCGGCAACAACAAUUUCAAUGCAACAAAUCAAAUCAUUGAUAAAUUCAAUAUUCAGUAUUGAUAUUUUAUAUAUUCACUAUAUUCAAA